UGCGGAAGGAUCAUUACCACACCUAAAAAACUUUCCACGUGAACCGUUUCAACCCAAUAGUUGGGGGUCUUAUUUGGCGGCGGCUGCUGGCUUAAUUGUUGGCGGCUGCUGCUGAGUGAGCCCUAUCAAAAAAAAGGCGAACGUUUGGGCUUCGGCCUGAUUUAGUAGUCUUUUUUCUUUUAAACCCAUUCCUUAAUACUGAAUAUACUGUGGGGACGAAAGUCUCUGCUUUUAACUAGAUAGCAACUUUCAGCAGUGGAUGUCUAGGCUCGCACAUCGAUGAAGAACGCUGCGAACUGCGAUACGUAAUGCGAAUUGCAGGAUUCAGUGAGUCAUCGAAAUUUUGAACGCAUAUUGCACUUCCGGGUUAGUCCUGGAAGUAUGCCUGUAUCAGUGUCCGUACAUUAAACUUGACUUUCUUCCUUCCGUGUAGUCGGUGGAGGAGAUGUCAGAUGUGAAGUGUCUUGCGAUUGGUCUUCGGACCGGCUGCGAGUCCUUUUAAAUGUACUAAACUGAACUUCUCUUUGCUCGAAAAGUGGUGGCGUUGCUGGUUGUGAAGGCUGCUAUUGUGGCAAAUUGGCGACUGGUUUGUCUGCUGCGGCGUUAAUGGAAGAGUGUUCGAUUCGUGGUAUGGUUGGCUUCGGCUGAACAAUGCACUUAUUGGACGUUUUUCCUGCUGUGGCGUGAUGGACUGGUGAACCAUAGCUCGGUGGCUUGGCUUUUGAAUUGGCUUUGCUGUUGCGAAGUAGGGUGGCAGCUUCGGUUGUCGAGGGUCGAUCCAUUUGGGAACUUAAUGUGUACUUCGGUAUGCAUCUCAAUUGGACCUGAUAUCAGGCAAG
rnacentral:rRNA from 1 species